rnacentral:rRNA from 1 species
GACGAACGCUGGCGGCGUGCUUAACACAUGCAAGUCGAGCGGUAAGGCCCUUUCGGGGGUACACGAGCGGCGAACGGGUGAGUAACACGUGGGUGACCUGCCCUCAGCUCUGGGAUAAGCCUGGGAAACCGGGUCUAAUACUGGAUAUGACUCCAUGACGCAUGUUGUGGGGUGGAAAGCCUUGUGCGGCUGAGGAUGGGCCCGCGGCCUAUCAGCUUGUUGGUGGGGNGAUGGCCUACCAAGGCGACGACGGGUAGCCGGCCUGAGAGGGCGACCGGCCACACUGGGA